AAAUAAUUCCGUAUUUGUCUCCGGGCCGGUUUUGUCUUUUAUCGGAUGAAAAUGUACGUCAUUUUUGACGUCACUGCUGCAGCAGACGUGCUGGGUGUAUUGGAAAGAUGCAUGCAGUAACUUGAGUUCAGUGUCACAUUGCUGCGUCUAAAAAGCCCAAAGCUGAUAAGACUGGCGAUUGAUCCUCAGGCUGAUUUGACAGAUGAUUGCAUCAUCACAAUAUUAAAGGUUCAAUAUACAGUCAGCGUCUCAUAAGAAUAAAUCCCAAGAUCCAAGACUUGCUUAAAAGCUUAAUUAAGAGACCAUUCUGUGCCACAAAGAAAUUGUUCAGGAAAGGGAGAAAUGGUGGAUUUGCAUUUUGGGGGGUACAGUUCAAAGAGAAUUCAAAAUGGUCAAGCUCAUGGAAGAUCAGAGGGAGGACAACUGAAGAAAACUGAAAGAUACAGAAGGAAAAAGAACAAGAAAAUAUAUGAAAUAAUUAUGAAAUUGGGAGGAUGUACACAAUCUUGUCUGCAUUUGACCUGUAAAGAUUUAAUUCCCAUUCUUAUUUGUAUGCUGUAAUAUCAAAUAACUUGAUUUUUCAUAAAUUUACAAUAGAGAAUACAUGACAAAUGUUAUAUGUGAUAUUUCAAUUUUGCUUUGGUCACUUUCAUGUCAAAUCAUAUAAAUUAUAAAAAAGUACAUGGACUAAUUAUGUUAUUCAUUUGUACAUGUAUGCAUGUUUAACUAUUUAAUCAUUUUGUGGAAAUCUUAUAAUUGUACUCAACUUAGAAUAUGUAAAAUAUAUGUAUCGACAAAUGCUACUGACUUGUUUGUAUACUUUCCUGUUUAGAAAGUACACUGAAAAAUAAGUUAUUUCUCUUGAUGAAAAUAAUUUAUCAAAAAAGCUGUGUAAGCAUUUUAAGAUAUUAAUUUUCAAAUAUUUAACCCAUGAAGAUAGAUCAUUGGAAUGUAAUGGAUUUUCAUCUAAAGCAGAAAUAUCUGAUUUUUAAAUGUGUACAAGAAUGUGUUUUUCCUUGUGAUAAAUAUUGAAAGAGAACACAUGUAACUAUUUCAUAUGACUUACAUAUGCUCAUAUGCUGCCCUUUUCAUAUGAUUCACAUAUGUGGACAGACAUGAAAAAAGUAUAAAAAUGAUAAUAAGUACAACAGUAAUAUUAUACACGUAUAAUUCACAUAUAAAGUAUGACAUGUAUAAAACACAUGUUUAACACAUGUUUCAUAUGUAUAAAUAUACAAUGUGUUUAUUUUUACACAUGUUAAACACAUGUGAAACAUAUGUUUAACAUGUGUAAAAAUAAACACCCUAUACAUGUGUGCUCCUUUUAUGUGUUUUACAUGUGUAAAAAAU